UCUGAGUUGCUGGAGACCAAAUGGU
rnacentral:piRNA from 1 species